GACCUCAAAUCAGGUAGGACUACCCGC
rnacentral:ncRNA from 5 species